rnacentral:rRNA from 1 species
AUGCAAUGCCACUCCAAAACUUAUGGAGGACACCGCGCAGGAGAUAGAACUGCACAUAAGGUAUUGCAAUCCGGUUUUUAUUGGCCUACUCUCUUCAAGGAUGCCCGUAAGUUUGUCCUAUCUUGUGAUGAAUGUCAAAGAAUUGGUAAUAUUAGUAGACGUCAAGAAAUGCCUAUGAAUUAUUCACUUGUUAUUGAACCAUUUGAUGUUUGGGGCUUUGAUUAUAUGGGACCUUUUCCUUCCUCUAAUGGAUAUACACAUAUUUUAGUUGUUGUUGAUUACAUUACUAAGUGGGUAGAAGCUAUUCCAACUAGUAGUGCUGAUCAUAACAUUUCUAUUAAAAUGCUUAAAGAAGUUAUUUUUCCGAGGUUUGGAGUCCCUAGAUAUUUAAUGACUGAUGGUGGUUCACAUUUUAUUCAUGGUGCUUUCCGUAAAAUGCUUGCUAAAUAUGACGUCAAUCAUAGAAUUGCAUCUCCGUAUCACCCACAGUCUAGUGGUCAAGUAGAAUUGAGUAAUAGAGAACUCAAAUUAAUUUUGCAAAAGACUGUCAAUAGGUCUAGAAAGAAUUGGUCCAAGAAACUUGAUGAUGCAUUAUGGGCCUAUAGAACUGCAUAUAAAAAUCAUAUGGGUAUGUCUCCGUAUAAA